GACGAACGCUGGCGGCGUGCUUAACACAUGCAAGUCGAACGAGACGAUUGAAAGCUUGCUUUCGAAAGUCGAGUGGCAAACGGGUGAGUAACGCGUAGACAACCUGCCUUUGAGAUGAGGACAACAGUUCGAAAGGACUGCUAAUACCGAAUGUUGUAUAUUUUCCACAUGGAAGAUAUAUUAAAGAUGGCCUCUAUUUAUAAGCUAUCGCUCAAAGAUGGGUCUGCGUCUGAGUAGCUGGUUGGUGGGGUAACGGCCUACCAAGGCGACGAUCAGUAGCCGGUCUGAGAGGAUGAACGGCCACAUUGGGACUGAGACACGGCCCAGACUCCUACGGGAGGCAGCAGUGGGGAAUCUUCCACAAUGGACGAAAGUCUGAUGGAGCAACGCCGCGUGAGUGAAGAAGGGUUUCGGCUCGUAAAGCUCUGUUGUCGGGGACGAAUGUGCAGUAUUUGAAUAAAGUACUGCAAUGACGGUACCUGACGAGGAAGCCACGGCUAACUACGUGCCAGCAGCCGCGGUAA
rnacentral:rRNA from 1 species